rnacentral:misc_RNA from 1 species
AACAGGUCAGAUCUCUCAAAACCACUGAACUACUUUCAAACAGUACAAAUGAAGAGAAGGAUAGACAACACUUGGGCUUCAGAUCCUGGUUGCAAGGGUCAACCAUUAUUCAGUGUUCCCCUUGAAAAUGUUCUCAUUGAUGAGCUACACUUGCUGCUUCGCAUAACAGAUAGAUUGGAGCAUGACAUCAUCCUUGAAGUAAUUGGAUGAUAUGAGGACUUCUGGCAGUUGUACAAUGUCAUUAGUGACUGGACACCAGGGGAAGAUCAAGUCCUCUCAUUUUAUUCCAAGACUGUUGAGUGGGGAAAGCAGCUUUUGAACAUGACAGGGGAUGGUUACGCCCACACAUGUCCAAUCACACCGUACAUCCAUCUGAUGAUCUGUCAUGUACCUGUGAUGCUUCAGAAGUAUGAGACUAUGAAAAUAUUCACUGGCCAAGGUGUAGAAAAAAAGAAUGAUGAUUUUUGGAGAUACCUCCACCGAAGAAUUAACAGGUGGGAUACCUGCAAAUCACUGUUGAUGGUUGAAAAAGGGAGGAGGAAUUGGAGCCAUGGGAAAGGACACAAAGAGGGACACCAGAUUCUGGCAUGAGGGAAGAAAGCAGGAGAGUGCGAGGAAAUUUCCUCGACUAACAGAGAGCACAGAACAAGAUGAUGACCAACAAACAUCAACACAGAUGCCACCAAUACAAUACGAGAGAGAGCUCAAGUCAAUGAAAGUUCCUCAGCUGCAUGAAGUCGAACUUGGACUGUCAGUGGGCAGGGGUAAAAGAAAACAAGAGCUUAUCGAGAUGAUCUGCCAGUUUCUUGCUCGCAGCCAAUAAUUGUUUACUGUUCUAUUAAGUGUCAUUGUCAGAGAAAACCAGGCAGUACCAAAAGAUCAAGGUCGGCCGUUUACAUUCAUCUUUUCACAGUGUAAAAGCUAUCCGAAAAGAUUAACAACCAUGACAUUUGCCGAGGUAGGCGUUCAUUUUUCUUCGAGAUAUCACCACAUCAAGAUUUUGGCCUCUCAAGCAGUCUAAAAUGGCCGAAAUUUCGGGCAACUUUAGGUGAGCCUAAAAGAUACUUCCUACAACUUCCAGAAACUCUUAUUUUCGUGACAUAAUAUUUGUCCCCUUAUUAGUUGAUUGAGAAAUAUUAGAGGUCUUUCGCAUUAAUUCUACAGUUUUCAAGAGGUGCCAAAUAUCGCCGCCGAAUCGUUAAUGAGUGUGGCCCAAAUUUUAGCCAUUUUCAGCGAGUCGUUUUUCAAAAGUGCGGCAGUCUAUUUCCACAGAAAGACAUUUUUGUGAUAGUCUUUUGCAUUGUUAUCAAUAUCCAGUUUAGUUAAAAUUGGUAUCCACAGGCAAAUCGGGGUAAUUGGUCUCGCAAAGUCCAAAAAAAGUCAUUGGCCAGAAAUAUUUCCCGCCAAAUUUUUAGGGAAGAAUAUCACCUUAUACCGACUUUCUGCGAUUGUUAUCCAUGAUUUACUAAAAUAUUUGCAAAAAAUAGUUAGCUGGACUGCAGAAUAGAAUAUUUAAGCUGUGACAUCGUUAUUGACCUAUGGAAACAUUUCAAACUUGCCAAAUCCUUACCAUUAUUUAGGCUAAAUUUUCCCACGAAAAUUCUAUUUUUAACGUCACGCUGCAUGGAAAAACAAAGUGGAUCUUCAGUUCGCUGGUCUCUUUUGCUGUUUAGUAGAACAAACUGUAAGUUAAUAGUGAGCAAAGCUUUUCCCUGAAUCAGUUUAAUUUUGGGACUUCGGCAAACCCCUUUUUAUAUCGAUUUUCUCGUUUUCGGAAGACGUGACACGUUACAGAUUCAAACGUCAGAUGAAAGGACUUUAAGAUGUUGAUCUCGCCUAAAGGUUUUUCCUCGGUUUUGAAAACAUUAGCUGUUCUUUCGGAUCAAAAAAAUCGCGUAGCACUGCUGGUGGCGGGGCAGUUUUUCUUCAAUUAUUAGCGUACAAACGAGAUAGUCGAGCAAAGACGUUAGAGGUGGUUUCUAUUUGCUGCAACCUAAUGUAAACAAUGAGGAAAUACAGCUCCCUGCUCUCAGGCUCACCAAAGGAUCAAAAACGACAAACGACUGGGAUAAACAUCUCAAUACGUGUGAUCAUUGCUAGGCCAGUAUUGCCGGCAGAAACCUUUCUUGCGUUUAAUGUUGCCGUUUGUAUCAUCGCAGGUUAGUACAGCAUCUUGUUUUCCGCUCUGGAACUUUUACUUUCAACAAAAGUAAUAUAAUGUUGCUUCUGUUAAUAUUGACCACAAAACCCCUUUUAAUGCAAUGAAAUUACAUCCAAAUUUUUAUUGAUAAUUUCUUGAUAGUUUUAUUGCUGCUGUUGUCAGAGUUCAUAAAGAACAAGAUCGCAAUAUGUUUGUGAUCCAUGAGAACAUAAAUUGAAUUACAUUUUGCACGCAACUAAGUUGCUCUGAAGAUUAAUUGAGAUAGUUUUAACAUGGUUCAUGAAAAAAAAAA